rnacentral:rRNA from 1 species
UACGAAGGGUGCAAGCGUUGUUCGGAUUUAUUGGGCGUAAAGCGCGCGCAGGCGGGCAAAUAAGUCAGAUGUGAAAUCUCGGGGCUCAACCCCGAAACUGCGUCUGAAACUGUUUGUCUAGAAUCUUGGAGAGGGAGGGAGAAUAUCGCAUGUAGGGGUAAAAUCCGUAGAGAUGCGAUGGAAUAUCGGAGGCGAAGGCGCCUUCCUGGACAAGUAUUGACGCUGAGGUGCGAAAGCGUGGGGAGCAAACAGG